rnacentral:lncRNA from 1 species
GAAUGUGAAGGAGAUGUGACUCCAACAUCUGCUCUUCAUUGAUUGCAGGGUUGAUUCAGCUGAUCUGACUAGCUAGGCGGGGGUCCCUUUACUGCUUCAUGGCUCCAUGCACAUCCUUCCCAAAGAUGCAUGCUUGGUUGAAGAGGACAGCCUUCCCUAAUAGAAGAAGACUUUUUUUUUUUUUGCUUGUUUUUUGCUCAAGGGUAUACAAGUGGCUGUGCUCCCCAGUUAGAACCUCCAAAGAAGCUCUCAAG